UUAACUUUUUUCCUUCUUGUCC
rnacentral:siRNA from 1 species